GUCCCUUUGGAAACUUAUCCUGGCUCUAAGAUCGUCCAUCUUAUUCUCCAGAGAUUGGACACUGGCGAGCAGAAUGCUCGAUAGAGGAGGGCUGUGAGCUCUUUUCCUCAGUCUGUUGUGAAUCCCAGUGCGUUUCCCGUGGUGUUUCUUGAUCCAUCACCUCGGGUGGUUGUUCAAGUGGCCAUUGUUCAUCUCUGUGUUCUGGAGAAUCUCAGAUGGCCACGAUGGGUUGGAGGAUAAAUUUAUUGCUUACUCUGAAACAGGUCAGUGAAGUAGUGUCCAAUGUCCAAAAGUGUUCCUUUGUCAUAAAUGAUCAGUGUAGACGUUAUGUGUGUUAAAAGAGAAAGCAAAAGUAAGUAAAAAAGUAAAGGAAAGCACAAUCUAAGCGGAGCGACCUGGACGGCGUCCGAACUCGGUGGCGCCAUCUUGGAUCAGAGUUCUCAGAAUUAUUCUUGUGUGUCUGCCGUGUCCUGACCAGCGGAUUGUCUCCUGUUCUUCGCUCUUUUCCGGUCUCUGUUUCCUGUUGGACUCCGCUGUCCCGGCUAUCGGCUGCCCAUUGCAUCCCUGCGCUACUCUGAAGUGCCUGUUGUCGCUAGAGCUCGUUGACACUCUCUCCUGGUUGAACUUUAUUGCUGACUGUUAAAUAAACUCUUCUUUUAUCUGCACUUGAAUCCUUGUGUCUUAAUUUUCAGUGACAGUUUUACAGCUGCCAGUAACAUUCACGCGGGUUCAUUUUGUUGACUGUCCUUAUAGAAACAGAUAAUCCCCAGUCCGAGGAUGUGAACAGCACCGAGUUGAAUGUCACGUGUUGUCAUCUCGGAAUUACGGUAAUUAUGACAUGGCAUGAAUGCAGCAUAAGUCAAUGGCUACCAGACACUGUUUGGUAUCCAACAUUCUUUAAAAUAUCUUCUUUUCUUUUUUUAAGUCUAACUAAUUCCUGAACUUUCUUGGUGACGAGUUAAUAAGACUCAAAAAGUAUGUCUCAUAUUCACUUUCGAAUUAAAAUGUGUGUCAGAGGAAGACAGUCAUGGGUCACAGGCUCAGAGGAGCAGAGUGGCUUUAUUUAAAGUCUGCAUGGGGUCAGCGGGUCAUGCAGUAGUCUGUGAACGGCUGCUGUAUAUCCGCACUGCUCGGCUGAGCAUUUUCCAGCAUGUAUUGUGAUCAGGAUAGCUUUGCUUCCUCAGUGGCAGUUUGCCCAUGUGAAAACACAGAGCGCACCAUGCAAAACACGCUUCCUCUUCCCUCAAUUCGCAGGCCUUGAAAACAAUAGCAAUGCAGCGUGUUUCAAGAGGAGGGAAACUAUUUUGAGGCUGUAUGAGCCAAAUGACGGCAGUCCACAGUGUUGACGUGGACAGUCUGUCAGAUCUAGGUAUGAGAAAUGAGCUUCAAAAACAACAGCUAAUGGUGCAAUAGCUGCUCCUUAGAAGAUAUUUUUCUUUUUCAAGUUUAAUUUUACAGUAUAAUAUGCAAAUGAUAUACGCUAACUUUCUGUGUGCAUGGAAUACAUGGAUGUGCUUGCCAAAAAUGUGCAGUACCAGAGCACACUGGGCAACAUAUUGUAUCCCCUAAUGCAAUGUGCUUAAAUGUACCUUAUUUAGACCUCACUAUUUUUGAAGUGCACUUUUUCUGUUUGGAAUUUUCAGUAUGAACACACUACUAAAAUUGCUUGGAACAGUGCAUAAGGACAUGACUUGCUGAGAACUAAAAAAGCAGCAAGAAGAGAAGAGAAGAGAAGAGAAGAGAAGAGAAGAGAAGAGAAGAGAAGAGAAGAGAAGAGAAGAGAAGAGAAGAGAAGAAUGAAGACCUUCAAGUGUUCACAGCAGACUGUCACCAGCUGCUUUCAAACAUUAAUCUGGACAGAAGUGAUGCAAACAGACAGAAGUGAUUUAAACUGUACGUAAAAAAAAUUUAUCUGGUCAAGAUAAAUACAGAAAAAGCUGAAGAAAAUCCAAAUAGGGAAAUAUAUGCCCAAAAAAAAUUAAAAUAAAAACAAGAUCUUCUGUAGAUGAUAGAUAGAU
ensembl:lncRNA